UGGGGAAUAUUGCACAAUGGGCGCAAGCCUGAUGCAGCCAUGCCGCGUGUAUGAAGAAGGCCUUCGGGUUGUAAAGUACUUUCAGCGGGGAGGAAGGGAGUAAAGUUAAUACCUUUGCUCAUUGACGUUACCCGCAGAAGAAGCACCGGCUAACUCCGUGCCAGCAGCCGCGGUAAUACGGAGGGUGCAAGCGUUAAUCGGAAUUACUGGGCGUAAAGCGCACGCAGGCGGUUUGUUAAGUCAGAUGUGAAAUCCCCGGGCUCAACCUGGGAACUGCAUCUGAUACUGGCAAGCUUGAGUCUCGGAGAGGGGGGUAGAAUUCCAGGUGUAGCGGUGAAAUGCGUAGAGAUCUGGGGGAAUACCGGUGGCGAAGGCGGCCCCCUGGACGAAGACUGACGCUCAGGUGCGAAAGCGUGGGGAGCAAACAGG
rnacentral:rRNA from 1 species